ACGGAGGGUGCAAGCGUUAUCCGGAUUUAUUGGGUUUAAAGGGUGCGUAGGCGGUUAUAUAAGUCAGCGGUGAAAUUUUUCGGCUCAACCGGAAACAUGCCGUUGAUACUGUAUAGCUUGAAUAUGGUUGCUGUGAGUGGAAUGUGUAGUGUACCGGUGAAAUGCCUAGAUAUUACACUGAAUAGCGAUUGCGAAGGCAACAAACAAAGCAAAUAUUGACGCUGAUGCGCGAAAGUGUGGGGAUCAAACAG
rnacentral:rRNA from 1 species